GGUCCGUUAGCUCAGUCGGCAGAGCGUCGUGCUGAUAACGCGAAGGUCGUGGGUUCGAGCCCCAUGCGGACCA
rnacentral:tRNA from 2 species